AUGAACCUUACUUAUUCAAACAUUGUGCUGAUGGUAUUGUUCGAAGAUGCUUGCCGAAAAGUGAAACUAAAAGUGAGAUCUAUCAUUGCCAUUCAUCCCCUUAUGGAGAUCAUGCAAGUACUAGAAAGACUCAAGCAAAAAAUUUGCAAGCGGGAUUUUACUGGCCAACUUUAUUCAAGGAUGUACAUUCCUAUAUUGAAGCUUGUGAUCCUUGUCAGAGAACUGGAAAGAUUUCAAAAAGGCAAGAGAAGCCUCAAAAACAAAUUCUUGAAGUAG
rnacentral:rRNA from 1 species